AAUUAUAACGAUCUGAUUAACAAAUCGAUCCAUAAAUAAAUGAAACAAGCUAAGGACGGAAAAUAGUAAUGGUGAAGUAUAAAAUAACCACUUUAUCGUAUUUUCUCCUACCAUACAAAAACAAAAAGGGUAACAGUAGUGUUUUCCUCGUAUACUUAUCGUUAUAUAAAGCAAGUUCUUUGAAAAAGUCGAAAUUCUCUAUUCGUGAUAGUAAAAUUUAAGCCCGUACAAUGAAUGCACUAACAACUCAAUGAAUGACAUCAACUAUCAUAUCUACAUGAAAGACUACUCUGCCAACCAUUUUAUCAUCAUCAUUUAUUAUAUCUAAGUCGACAUAAAUGAAACGGGACGAGAGGGACUUCAAUAAUUCACUAAGUAGACAAGAAACGAAGUGUACAAUAUGGUGACAGGAGCUACCUCCGUUAACCCUAGAUCGUUUAAACUUAAAGGUAGAAUGUAAGUCUCUGUAGAGUUAACGAAGUCAUACGGUAAGAGAAGAGGAGAAACUGCUAUGUGUCUUGUUUGAAAGAAAUUGCAAAUGACGUCGUAAACCUUCAUAAAACGCGUAGUGCCACACAACCUCUCUCACUCCGGUGAAGUAUUUUACUGGUCAACGUCACGGAAGUUUGAAUGGAUUAAGGACCUUACCGAAGUUUGUUUGUGUUCCCCGUUAUUUCUUUCCCGAUGCCGGUCCCCAAGACUACGACUAGACAUACCUCCCCACUUGCGUGAACGACCUCUGCUAAACCUCUCGGUCAAAAUGAGUUUCCUCUGCUAAACCUCUCGGUCACACUUCUUCCCAGGCUUGUUCGAAGCGGGUGUGUUUCUACGGUACCGGUCCCGACUACAGUAAUUCUCACCUUCGAUACCACCGUACUGUUAACAGGUGGGUAGUGGUCGACAGUGAUUUCUACAUCGUGUCUUCAUCUAGUCCUUCUGGAGCCCCGGUGAUACGUGUUAUAAAAAUAGUCCACAACAAAGGUUACUGUAGACUUCAAUAAACGAGGCCCCAAAGUAGUAGUGCGGACAAACGUGUCAAUGGAUCAUGGGGUCAAAAACGUGAUUUACAUACCAGAAGACACUGGACUGAUAGACUUUCACUUCAAAAACAUUAUCUUGAUAUUACUAAGCAUGCAUACCAGUAGAUACUGGACUGAUAACGAUAUAUACACGAUACAUACUGAUGAC
rnacentral:rRNA from 1 species